AAGUCGUAACAAGGUUUCCGUAGGUGAACCUGCGGAAGGAUCAUUAACACGUAUCCAACGUUAAACCCCCCGUGAACCUUCAGUGCGCUCGCACUUUCUUAGAAAAGGUAGCAAUCCCUGGUAAAUCAUUGCCGAACAGUUUUGAUUCAGGGACUUCUGCGUAGACUGUGCUUGAGCGUGAGGCAAGUGGCCUGGCAUUCCUCUGCUUGUUGGUGUCUGAAAGUGUCACCAGCUCUGUACGAAUGGCGCUAGAGGCCGACACGGCCGGCGACCGGGUCACUGGGCGCGAGCCCCCCUCGUCACCUUUGCAUGAAAACGGACCUGCCAAACUCGAACAACUGUUAACAAUGGAUAUCUUGGUUCUC
rnacentral:misc_RNA from 1 species